rnacentral:ncRNA from 1 species
CUGCGAUAACGGCAAACUCAGUGAGAACUGAGGGCGCAAAGCCACGGGUCUUAACACAUUAUGGUGAAGAAAGCCGGAUAUCGAA